rnacentral:tRNA from 1 species
UGCCCGAUCGUCUAAUGGUAGGACAGUGGCCUUUGAAGCCAUUAAUUGGGGUUCGAAUCCCUGUCGGGCAG